AGAGAUUUUGUUGUCUACAUGUUUUAUGCUGGUUUUAUAAUUUGUGAUAUAUUUUAGGUAACUGUGGGAGGACAGCUGAUUUGGCGUAAAGCUAGUGUGCGAUGAACAGAUGAUGUCCUAUCCAAGGCUCAUUCAUUUCCUUUUCCCUAUUGCCUUUAAUGUUUCUCCAUGGAUCAGUGCAGAGGAUAUUAGAACUGAAUUCCCCCCUUGUGGCCCAAAUGAAGUAAAGCUAGCACCGAUACAACACACUUCUUCAAGAACCGUUACUUUGAUGAACUGUACCCCUGUGACAUUGGACACAAGCAGCAAUGGCAGACAGUAAGUCCAUCAAGGGGACUCACAUUGAAACAGCUGCAGACCUUGUCAGAAGGUGACCUAUGUCUGAGGGUAUGGCCAUUAUUUUUCCUUUUGUGAUUUUUUUUCUUUUUAUUAGCAAAGAUUACUCUCAAUUAAACUCUAGUUAUUGGAUCAACAGGAAUUAGAUCAGGCAAAGAAGGAGAAAAAAAUCCAUUACAUUUAAUGAUAACAUAUUUGGCAUAAUUCCUACCCAACAUGCCUGUGAAAAGUGUUUUCCAGCUUCACAUUAGUAAGAAAAGAGAAGACCCACGUUUAUUUAAAAGCUUGAAUCCUGCAGACGGCCUUUGCUGCCUACCCCAAUUGAAAUAAAGACGCGGCUUCCAGGGCUCUCA
rnacentral:lncRNA from 1 species